rnacentral:hammerhead_ribozyme from 1 species
AUUCAGCUGACGAGUUCCGAAAUAGGACGAAACGCUUGUCAGACUGGAU